AUACGACUGACAUGAGCGCAUCGAGGAAAAAUUAAAUCGAAUUAACUAUAGAAUCACGUCGCAUAAGCAGUGCACGGCAAAUCAGCGUAUCGAACGAGUACACUAUAGAAUCUCGGCGCGUAAGCGUAGCAGCCACGAUAGAAACUCACGCAGGUUCUCUAGAACCACCACAAAACGUGUACGAAGUGGUGUGCUGCAGUCACUGCUCCACGUUCGAAAAAAAGUUCGAAAAACUUGAGGGCACCAUUAAGGAGCUUCGGCGGGUGGUAGAAUCCCAAAAUGUCGCAAUAAUGGACGCUAUCGCAACUCAGAAGGUGGCAACAGAGCAACUAGUUCGGCAGGAGUCAGAAA